CACCUUGAGACGGCCCUUUCAGGUUCUCACAACCACCCUCCUCAGCCUCCUUCUUCCCCUCUCAUUUCUCCUCCUAGCUAGGCUUACGAUAGCCCGGUAUUUGCUAGAUGUUAACUCAAAUAAUCCUACCUCUCAACCUUUCUCUUUUUUAUUCUCUGUUUUGCUAUAUACCAAUCCAACUCUUCUCCAUGGCCUUGUUGCCAUUGUUAGCGUUUCAUGCCUUGUCCACGGUUUGAGUAAUGGCCGGAUCACGCCUUCAAGAGAGCCUCCAGAACCUAUUGUACGUUCCCGUUUGUACACAG
rnacentral:lncRNA from 1 species